rnacentral:rRNA from 1 species
GUGACUCUUGGCAGUGGAUCACUCUGCUCGUCCAUCGAUGAAGAACGCAGCUAGUUGCGAGAACUAGUGUGAAUUGCAGGACAAAUUGAUCGACACUUUGAACGCACCUUGCGGCCCGGGCUUUCUCCCGGAGAUACACCUGUCUGAGGGUCGCUUGAACAUCAAUCGCUCCGAGGUUCCCUCCCAGGGGCGCAGCUGGGGCUGUUGCAGGGACCCCUUUCCCUUUGUGCCCCUAAGGUCAGACCUCCGAUAAACCGUCGCAGGAUCCCUGGUCCUGGCGCGCAGGCUCAUUGCCGGUGCAUCCCAGCCUCCUCCGUUUCCCCCAUUGUGUGGGUUUCUUAAAAAGACUGGCGCACCUUCACCUUACCUCGGGCACUUGUCUCUGCCAUGUGUGGCUGUCUGUGUCCCACGGCUGCUGGCGCGGCAUCGCCCUGGAGCACGGGCCUCGCAACCACGUGGGGUUUGGCCGCAGAUCGGGACAGCACAGACUCUGCUGCGCCGGAGGCACGGGGUAGGGGCAAUCGUCAUCCCCCCUACCUCCUGUAUAGCCCCGAGGCUGCCCGGCUGCCCUGAGCUUUCUGCUCCCCGACUACGGCCUCAUCAGAAGUGGCAACCUGCUGAAUUUCAGCAUAUUACUAAGCGGAGGAAAAGAAACUAACCAGGAUUCCCUCAGUGCCGGCAAGUGAAGAGGGAAGAGCCCAGCGGGACUGCCGCCUGGUGACACCCGGCCCCCGCAGGGUACAUUUCUUCUGUGGCAGUGCACUGCGACCGACUCCGGGUCAGCUGGAAAGGGCGCAGGUGGCUCUCCGCUCUGGCCGAGAUUGUUACAGCCCCCUAUCAGCAGUUUUGCUGUGUUCGCGGGGCCGAAGGAGAUUGACUGCUGCCGUGCCUUUCUCUGGCAACCGUGCUGGCCCCCAUUGGGGGUGUCGCUGGGGUGACAAAGGGAGACAGAGCUGGCGAUUCGACUGUGGUGGACUGCCCUCAGUGAGCCCCGACCACGUCGCGCCGCUGAGUGGGAAGGCCCACAAAGGGCACCAGGGGUCUGAAGUGAUGUCGGCUACCCACCCGACCCGUUUUGAAACACUGACCUAGGAGUCUAACACGUGCACGAGUCAGAGGGCCGAACAAAACCCUGUGGCGCAAUGAGAGUGAAGGCCGACGUGAGCGGCUGGGGUGGGAUCCUAUCGCGGUGGGCUCACCACCGGCCUGUCUCGCCCGCUCUGUCAGGGAGGUGGAGCAUGAGCGUGUGAGAUAGGACCUGAACUAUGGUGAGCUAGGCCUGGGAAGGGCAAAGCCAGAGCAAACUCUUGUGGAGGUCCAUAGCGGUCCUGAUGUGCAAUUCGAUCGUACUACAUCGGUAUAGGGGCGAAAGACUAAUGGAACCAUCUAGUAGCUGGUUCCCUGCGAAGUUUCCCUCACAAUAGCUGGUGCACGGAAACCCCAGUUUUAUCUGGUAAAGCGAAUGAUUGGAGGUCUUGGGCCGAAAUGAUCUCAACCUAUUCUCAAACUUUAAAUGGGUAAGAGGCCCGGCUCGCUGGCGUGGAGCUGGGCAUCGGAUGCAAGUGCCCAGUGUGCCACUUUUGGUAAGCCGAACUGACGCAGUGGGAUGAACUGAACACUGGGUUAAGGCGCCCGAUGCCAACACUCAUCAGACCCCAGAAAGGAUGUUACUUGAUAUAGACAGCAGGACGGUGGGCUUGGAAGACUUAAUCCGCUAAGGAAUGUGUAACAACUCACCUGCCGAAUCAACUAGCCCUGAAAAUCGAUGCUGGUGGAGCGUCUGGCACAUACCCGGCCAGCACUGAGAGCUGCGGGGGCUAAGCUGCGACCAGUAGGAGGCUGCUGUGGUGCGCACGGAAGCCUGGGCGAGGGCCCGGGUGGAGCUCACGCAGGUGAAGAUCUUGUGGUAGUAGCAAAUAUUCAAACGAGAACUUUGAAGGCCAAGUGGAGAAGGGUUCAUGUGAACAGCAGUUGAACAUGGGUCAGUUGGUCCUAAGAAAUGGUCGAGCGCCGCUCGGAAGGGACGGACGAUGGCCUCCAUUGCUCUCAGGCGAUCGAAAAGGAGCUGGGUUCAGAUGGCAGAAACAGGCAUUCUCACGGCACCCAGUGCUGUAACGCAAACGAUCCCAGAGAAGCUGGUGGGAUCCCCGGGGAGAGUUCUGUUUUCUUUGUGAAGGGCAGGGCACCCUGGAAUGGGUUCACCCCGAGACAGGGGCCCAAGCCUUGGAAAGCAGUGUGGUUCCGGCGGCGACCGGUGAGCUGUCGCUGGUCCUUGAAAAUCUGGGCGAGAUGGUGUAAAUCUCACGCUGGGCCGUACCCAUAUACGCAGCAGUUCUCCAAAGUGAACAGCAUCUGGCAUGUUGCAACAAGGUAGGUAAGGGAAGUCUAAUCCAUAACUUCAAGAAGGGAUGGGUUGGUCGGGCUGGGGUGCAAAGCGGGGCUGGCCACAUGCCACGGUUGGAUGAGGCGCAUUCCCGCCACACACCCCGGGUGCAGCGCUGAUUCUAGAUAUGAGCUGGGCCCUUCCUGUGGAUCGCCCCAGCUGCAGUGGUCGCCUCUCUCUGUUCCCCUCCCAGCCGACGCCUUUCAGCUGACUUAGAACUGGUGCCGACCAGGGGAAUCCGAUUGUUAAAUUAAAACAAAGAAACGCGCAAGGCACACAGUGGGUGCUGACGCAAUGUGCUUUCUGCCCAGUGCUCUGAAUGUCAAAAGGAAGAAAUUUGAUGAAGCGCGGGUAAACAGCGAGAGUAACUAUGACUCUCUUAAGGUAGUCAAAUGCCUCAUCUGUUAUGCCUCAAUACCAAAAAGCAGAAAUCCACUAACCUGGUCAGAUGGCAGUGUCUUGGUGGGUGUGAAAAUUCCCCUGAGAACCUUACCACCUCUGUCCGGAUGUGACAAGGAGGAGAGGGGGCAACACUCCCAGGGAAACCCUCUGGGGUAAAAAACUCUGUACAGGAAACGUGUGCAUAGCUCUCUGUAAUUCGUUGAUCUUUGAACCUCAGGCUGGGAUACUAGGCUGGCAUCAUCAAUCCUUGGACUGGAAUACUAGGCAGUCAACCAAUAGAAGGGUCCCUCAGGAUGGUUCUGACAGGGGGAAAAGAGAUGGGUAAGUAAGUAAAGGAAGUUAAAGCCAGACAGAAAGAUGAGACCCGUGAAGUUUCCACCCACCUGACUGGAAACAGAGGAAGUCUGUUCUCCGGAGGUAGCAAGUAGCGCCUCCUUCUAUAUAAGAGAGGGACAUGUAAGUUUGGAAGUCUGGAUAUUCCCUUAGCGGAGUCUAUAACAACUGAGAAGAGUUCCUGAGACCUACGUGAAAUAGACAGAUGCUGAGGAAAGAAUGGUGCAGUGCAGUGGGACAAUGUGGCUGCCAAAUGGAGGAAUCCGGGACAGGCGGCUCUCGGAAUGUGAAGUAUAAAGGUAAGGAAUGAG